rnacentral:tRNA from 1 species
AGGGGUGUCGCUCAAUAGCAGAGCUCCUGCCUGGCAUGCAUGAGGUCUGGGUUCAGUGCUCAGCACCCUCU